CCGGUGGUUGACAGGCCACAUUAUGUUUAAUUAAGAUUUAAUAUUUUUUAUGUGGCCACGUGUUUAUUGUUUUUAUUUUUAUUUUACGAACACAAAUUUGGAUCCAAUUUUCAUUGGAUGCAUCUGCCGAUCUAAAUGCAAAAAUGGACACGCCAGUCCGCAUGGUCGAUACAAAUGGAGAAAUCGGGCGUUCGUUUCCAUUGCCCGAUUGGAGUUGCUCAAAUCAUGACAGUACAAACAAGCAGCAGCCAAAUCGCACGCAGUUCUUAAAAAAGAUUGAUGCGCAAAGCAACAUUUAGCAACCUUCAAAAGAAGAAGCUUCCUUCUCCCACGACCUUAUCCAUUGAGAACUCCAUUUCUUCUCUAUACAUCGCUAUCAGCACAGCUGUCGUUCCUCUUGAAGCGACAGCCCCUGUGUUCCAGCCGUAUAAGUUUUCGUUCCUCCUUCCCCGACCGUGGCCUGGAACUUUGUCCGCUCAGCGCCAUCCGUUCAUCCCUCCCCGACCGUGAUCUCGAUUCAAACUCCUCCUGGACCUAGCAAGCGCGGGCGGCUCCGGCGUGGGAUUGCGGCGGCUAGGCGACGUUGCUUCGGUGGUGGGCUCAAGGGUGACGCAUGGAUGUUGUGAGGCGCGAGGAGAAGGAGAGGCAAGGCGCAGCGCUGGAGGAGCCAAAGGCAUGGAGGGGAUGUGCGAGGCGGGGAAGAGGAAGGAGGGGGAGCACAGCAGUGGCCCGACUCGCCUGCUAGGGGCGCCAUGGCCAGAGGAAAGGUCGGGCGACGGGGAUCGAGGCGAGGGCGGGGGGAUCGGGAGGAGAGCGAGGUCUCUCGUCAGUGGCGGCGGGGCAGGGAACGAGAGGAGAGCGAGGGGGUUAUGUCGAAAUAUAGGAGGUUUUAUGUAAAAUUUAAAAAGAUUCAUUUUCUGACUUAAAUCCGGACUCCGGGUUGAUUUCAGAAAAUGUGAGGGGGUUUUCUAUAAAACUGCCACGACGGAUAGCAGAAGGCAUCCGUGCUUUAUUA